rnacentral:rRNA from 1 species
UGGGGAAUAUUGCGCAAUGGCCGAAAGGCUGACGCAGCGACGCCGCGUGGGGGAUGAAGCAUUUCGGUGUGUAAACCCCUGUUGCCCGGGACGAACAAGCAGAUUUUUCUGCUCUGACGGUACCGGGUGAGGAAGCACCGGCUAACUCCGUGCCAGCAGCCGCGGUAAUACGGAGGGUGCGAGCGUUGUCCGGAAUCACUGGGCGUAAAGGGCGCGUAGGCGGUCUGCUAAGCGUGCGGUGAAAGCCCGGGGCUCAACCCCGGGUCUGCCGUGCGAACUGGUGGACUAGAGCACUGUAGAGGCAGGUGGAAUUCCGGGUGUAGCGGUGGAAUGCGUAGAGAUCCGGAAGAACACCGGUGGCGAAGGCGGCCUGCUGGGCAGUAGCUGACGCUGAGGCGCGACAGCGUGGGGAGCAAACA